GUAGUAUUCCCUCCGUCCCAAAAUUCCUGUCUUACAUUUGUUUAGAUACGGAUGUAUCUAACACUAAAAUGUAACUAGAUACAUCCGUAUUUAGACAAAUUUAAGACAAGAAUUUUGGGAUGGGGGGAGUACAAA
rfam:Triticum aestivum genome assembly, contig: Triticum_aestivum_CS42_TGACv1_scaffold_130224_2BL